UACGUAGGGUCCGAGCGUUGUCCGGAAUUAUUGGGCGUAAAGGGCUCGUAGGCGGCCUGUCGCGUCGGUUGUGAAAGCCCGGGGCUCAACCCCGGGUCUGCAGUCGAUACGGGCAGGCUAGAGUUCGGUAGGGGAGAUCGGAAUUCCUGGUGUAGCGGUGAAAUGCGCAGAUAUCAGGAGGAACACCGGUGGCGAAGGCGGAUCUCUGGGCCGAUACUGACGCUGAGGAGCGAAAGCGUGGGGAGCGAACAGG
rnacentral:rRNA from 1 species